GUGUGACAGCAGGGUUGCUCAGCUCCUAGGAAACAACAUCUCAACAGCACCAAAUCUGCAAUAGGCUCUGUGCAUCAAGAGGGUAUGUUGCUGGUUGCUUCUGCUCAGUGACUGUUUUGGUGGAGAGCUGGAAAGGGAAUUAAUGAGCUCAUGGUGUUCUUUGCUGUCUUUGUAGCUGGACAAACAGGAUGUACUGAGACUAUGAGAAGGGGGACAAUUCUUUAUGACUAAAUGACUUUAGUUUAAGGCUGAAUAGGAAGGCGUAAAAUAUUUGCUUUGAGAAUGGGGAGGCUAUUGAAAAGCUGUUUAAUUGCUGUGUAACUGGAAUAGAUAAACAGAUAUUGGAGACUAUUGAGAGAAAAAAGACAGAAAUGGCAGAAAAUUCUUGCGGUGGGAUUGUGACUUGCCUGUAUGUAAGAGGUAUCAUUGAGGUAGCUGUGAAUCAUAUGAACUUGCCACUGCACUGUGAUUUUUGGCCUCUGUCAAAUUGCAGUGAGUGACCUGUGCAUUUGGUGGCUAUAUUUUCAUGUUCCCUCUAAUAAUUUCUUGCAUGUCAGUCAUUUUGUAAUUCUAUUAAAGGCUAAGCUUGAAGAGCAAGCUCUAUGCAAAUCCUGUGACAUUGCUGACUUUCUAUCUGUGCUAGAAAAAAAUGUCAACACAAGUACAACGAGUGGGAUGACCCUGCCUACUGACAGUAUUGCAGAGCCAGAAAACAUUUCUGUAGGGGCCAUGAAAAGUGUGAGAAGCAAAAAUAACUAGGACAGAAAGUAUCUGUAUGCCCAGAAUAAACACAGAGUGGAAUUCAGUGUUUCCUCUAAGUGUUAACCUGUGGUCAUUCUAAAAUCCAUAUUUGUGUCCAUCCAGAUGGCAACCCCAACCACUGUGAAGAGAGUAUCCUGGAAUGCACAAUAGGAAGCUGCUGGGCAGCUGGGCAUGCCAUGGGCUGUUCUCCCAGAUGCUCCUCUGCCAGUCUUUGAGGGUUCUGGAGAUGCAUCUGCUGUUUCCUACAGAGCCACAGAUGAGGAAAGAAGGCCUAGCUACUUCCCUUCAGCAACUAGGUGUGCUUCUCCUGAAAUCAGAGGGAUCUGCAGAAUCUUAAAAAGGAAAGGUUUCUGGGCCCUCCAUCCUUCUAUGCAACUAUGGUCCACUGAGAAUGGUGGCCUUGGAGGAACUGGUGUUGCACUGAAUAAUCUAUAAUUCCCUGCUUGUGGCUGGAUUUGUUUUUAAAGGUAGGUAUUGUAUUUGCUUUUCUUGUGUGGGAUCUACCCAUCUUCUGCGAGUUUUCAAAGAUAACAGAACAUUUCAGAGAUUUUUUCAUAUUUUUUUUCAAAG
rnacentral:lncRNA from 1 species